rnacentral:lncRNA from 1 species
UUUUAUUUAUUUUUUCAUUUCACACAGAAUGAUGUUAAAAUAAAUCCUCAGUAAUAUAUAUUUAUAUACUUAUUUCCUUGUGUUGAUAUUUACAAAAGACUGCAGAGCUCUAUGAAGUCUAUGUACACCUAUGAUCAGGUGGACAGGCAAUGUUCAUUGAGGCACGUAUGUACACUUAUAUGUAUAACCUAUGUACAAAUAUCAGACCCUACUGACACAGGAACUCUCAGCUGCAGAAGUCCUGGGCGGGGCAGUGUUGGUGGGGCUGAAAGCUUCCAGAAUAUGUCAGCAAGAAUGAUAAUACCUAUACAUCCUGUGCAAUGCAGUUACAGCUGGUGUCUAAAUUUUCAUGAAGCAAACAAAUAGUUAAAUGACUCCCAACUCCCAUGAGUCUUCCCCACAGGUCCUGCUCCGCCUUCAGCUCCCAUUGGUCCCCGGCCUCUUAUCACCAUGGAGACCCCAGUUCCCUUUUGGCAUCAUCCUUACGAAGCUUUACCAUCAGCCUUGGAGUUCCUUCUUCUAUUGAUCCCAGGGAGGCUUGUUUAUCUGCCUCUCCUCUUUGAGUUUUCAGAAAUUAUUAGAGCUAGGGCACGGAGGGCAGCUGCGGAGCCAUGCCAGAGCAGCAAGGAGCCAGUGCAAACCCUAAUUAGAAUCUGUGCUGUGUUAGCCUAAGUGAGCGGCCAUUUCCACAUUUUAUCUAUCUAUCUAUCUAUAUAUAUAUAUGGGUAUGUGUGUAAUAUAUAAAAUCUCCAGAGACAGCCUAUAUAAUAAGCAUAGAAGCACAUACGUCUAGGAGAGGAAAUAGCAUUCUGCACUCAUGAGCUUUGCAGCUGUGUCCCUGAUGAAAACGAGAGAAUCCUCCCUGAUGGCUGGCACCUUAAUCCUGCCUGUUCCAAGAUUACCCUUCAUGGAGCGAGGGGCGCAGGGAUGCAGAAACCCAGUCCGAGGCCAAUUUGGCCUGGGCAUUGUUUGCGCAGCAGGCUGGAGCUCGAUCAUGGGACUUUCCAGCUUCCUGGGGCCCUUGAAAUGAAGGAAUCAUCCAAGCACGACAACAAAAGGAAACUGGGUCGCUGGAUCCCACGUGAAGGCAGAACUGGGGCAAGCACGGAGCAUGGUCAGACCCUCCCGAGCUGACACUCACCCUUGCCAAAGCCGGCUGGGCUGCUGUCCGUGCUUUCCCCUCUCUCUCUCCUGAGCCUGCAGCUGCUUGCUCCCUCCCAGCGCUGCCUGGCAGGUUGCAGUCCUUGCCCUGCAUUCAUAAGCUAAAAAGGCAGGCAUAGCAGCAGCUGACGUGGAAAUUGAUAGCAAAGCGAGCCCCCUCCCUGCCCCAGAAUAUCGUUUCCCUGCCAGCUCCUUCUCUUGCUUCCUUAGCAGUCCAGAGUGUAUGUGCUCAUACAACAUCAGCAUCUAGAGAUCAUUUUCUAGGAGAAGCCAGGCUUCCAGGCCUCAGGAAGACGGAGAAGAGACACAGGACCGAGUCCUCUGAGUAACUACCCAAGGUCCUAGCGGACGGCCGUAUUUACACUGCCCUCCUUUACCUAGAGGAGGAGGCUGCUGUCCACAUUAUUAUAUAAUUACACCUGUUCUGCGCAUCCAUCGGUGGAAUGAUGCAGGCAGUUCUCAGCUGCAAGCUCAUCUGGAACAUAUCUGACUAUUUGAGGAAUGCAGGGGAGCACGGGACGUUAUAUCGGUUUCCAUGCUGAGGUUCACACAGUGUGAGAAGCGGCUGUGCAGACAGGCUGCCUCAGUUCACCAGCUGGGCAGGCUAAGCCUGGGUUAUGGGCUUCUACGGUCUGAUGGCUGCCCACUUGGCCAGACUGGAGGGGCUGCUGGGUGUGUUGGGGGAGGGCAAGCACCCCUGCACCACCUCCACUGCAUCAGAUACCAGUGAGGGGUCCCUCCCACCCUGGUCUAGGGAGGGCACACAUGGUCACCUGCAGGAGGUGAGGCUGGACCAACCUCCCAUGUGUCUCAUACACUGCCAGUGAGAUGGAGAACCAGAGCAUGGUUCAGCUCAGCCCCUGCUGUUUCUCCGAAGAGGCGACUGAAUUAUAGGUGCUCGACUGCCUACACUUGCCACCUAGAUCUGAUUGGAAUCAACAACAGAAGGGCUUCUCACUUCCAGUGGUUGCUACGCAUCUCCCCUUCUUGUGUGGGGCAGAGCCAUUCUUUUGCUCUUCAUUAAAAAGGACACUUUCAGAUCUCAUGAAAUUCAAGCCUAGGGCACCAUCAAUGACAAAGAGAGAGCUCAACAGAUCAGUCCUUUGCCAGGUCUGCAAGCUUCCCACUCCCCGAGCGCUACAAAGUUUGGAAUAACUUUUCUGGUCUGCAGGGACGAGGUUACAGCCAACCAGGGCAGACAGAACAAAGGAUAAAGCACCUGGUCCUUAGAUCAGACUUCCCUUUUAUCCCUGAGUCAGGCAGCCACCUGGGAGGAAAGGGAAAGAUGCUGGAGCCUGAUCUUUUGUUAUGAAAGAACUACCUUCUAGAAAGUUCCCUAUGCAGGAGAACAAGAAUCGAACUGGAGAGAUGUUAAGAAUGCAAAGGAAGGUCAUUUAAAAAAUUCAAAUAAAUGCAGUUUAUUUCUUGGAUUGCCAAACGCCUUCCACAUUAGUGAAGCUAAGGGGACCGGGCACUGUAUAAUUGUAUAAUUUUUGAAACAAUGGUAUACAUAUAUACAUAUACUAUACACGUAUAUACACAGAUAUAUGUAUAUAUGAAAAACCUCGGAUAACUCAGGACUAAUUAACCAAAACCUCGACUAAUGAGAAUUAUGUUUCUCCCUACAUUUUCAGUCGAACGAGGCAAAUGAGAGCGAGGGCAUUAUCUGAUGAGCCCAAGUAGCCAAAGUCCAGGUAUGUACGUCCUACAGCCAGCAUCCCUUUCGCCUGUUUCUUUGGUUUUCUCCACCUCCACGACUACGCAAUGAGCACUGAGGGGGAGAAUGUUGACCCUGAGCAGAGCAAGGUCUUCUGUCUCUGUCGUCUUCGAACAUUCUACUUACUAAGGCGGGCAAGUUUAUACUAACCUACUUAAGAAAGUCCCCCCCCCCAACAACAAAGGUUGAACCAAAACAUGUUUUCCCAGCCCCACCCAAAUAACCAUAAUUGUAAAGCAACAGGGAUUCUUCCUUCCCUGAGGAUUUCGCCAUCAGUUAACUGAGGUUCUGCUGUAUACAUGCGUAUAGAGCAAGGUAGACAGAAACGGAGUACAAGGGGACCCUGGAGCUGCCAGCCUUCCCUGAUGGUCCCGUUGAAAAUAUAACCUCACAGGUUUCUUUCUUAUUUUUUUUUUUCCAGGAAAGGAGAUGCUUCUGAAGUCCCCAGUUAUGUGUGCAAAUAUUUGUGCAACUGUACACCGUAGUGGGUGGUGGGGGUCUUUGUUUCACCGGUGUCAUGCCCUAACCACCCAGACCUCAACCCACAGGCACCUGCUUCCCUCCAUCGCUCUCAUGGAGCCCCUUUGGUUAAACAAGGCAGCUUAUUUGGAAGGGCAGCCGGAGGGUAAUGCCCAAAUCUGCCCAGGCUACCAUCCCAGGUGCAAACCUUCAGGCCACCUUCCCCCAGCAUCCAUCUCCCAGAGGAGCGGGGAGGGAGGGAAACAAAUGGAUCAAGUAAUGGCUUUUAGUGCGUGGAAACGAUCUUCUGUAAUGGCUCAGGAUGCUUUAUUCUUAUCUAUCGGUAAGAGCAUUCCUGCAGGCUUCCAUCACACCCUGCCGGUCCGACUCAAAGUCCACGAGAUGGGCGGGUGUGAGGUCAGUCACACUCAAGAUUUCAGUGCCGAGAGGGUGUGAGAAUGCCAUGUGAGGGUGGACCCAAGGGGUAGGUGGGAGCGGGGAGGGACAGGGGCACGGAUGGAGACAGAGGGGUGCACAUGGGGAAGAGUCAGAGCGACAAGGAACACCUUCUCCUGCAGACCUCUCGCCUGUGUGUGUCUACAUCCCACAGGAGGGUCUGAGCCUCAGAGGGCAGGAGUCACGUGACCACGUGGGAAGAAGAGGGAACUACAGCGACAGCGAACCGAUGCCCAGAAGCCAAGGGCAUCAACUGAGAGUCCAGGUACGAUCCCUUUUCAGUCCUGAGAACAAGGUUUUGAAAUAGCUAUUGCUAAAGAAAACAGUCACUAUGUAUUUUAUUGCACUUUUCCUCUUUAAAAAAAUAAACGAUGAGAGAUGGAGCUGAACUUUGGUGGGAAGGGAAGCAGAAAGAAGGGAAAAUUGAACUAGAUUUGUUUGAUGGAGAGUCCCAUCCCAGCCUGCUUGCUGCUUUGAUGAGAGGACAGGGCUGAUCUCACCAAGGCCAAGGCUGAGGUUCUACAUGAUGGUCACCUCCAGCCAUCUGGACCUCUCCCAGCAUCCCACGCUCUGCCAGUGGGCUCAGGUGGCUAAUGAUGUUAAUGAGGUUAAGGUCACGGGUUCAAACCUGGCAAGGGACACUUUGCCAAGGCCGGGGGAGUCUCCACUGUGUAACCAAGGAGCACCCUGGACAUUACAGCCUCUGUGGACCAGCCCUCGCAGACCAGGCUAUUGGGUCAUCUGUGUGGACUUGCUUUGAAGGAAAGGACACAGCCAGGAGGUAUAUAUUAAUGGAUUAUCAGUUGUUCCGGGUCCUUCCACACUAGCACCUGGGUUUCUGGUGGGAGGAAGGUGACCAGGUAGACAUCUCAUGAGAUUCCCAGGCUUAAUCCGAGCUCCGCUUGACCAUGCUGGCCCAUCUUUUUGCUUUAAACUUUGGGGUUAUUUUUAUGAAAUCUGGGGAUAAGGGGGAGAGAAGAGACUAGAGGAAGAGAUUUCUUGGAGGAUACUGAGGGGUAUAAAUGCAGGCUAGGGAAAGGGGAUUAAAUCUGAUUUUUUUGUUUAGGCCUUAAUUUAUAGGCAUGGGGGCAGAGCAAUGGAUCUGAGUAUCUGUGCACAUCUCAUGUGUGUUAUCUAUGUUCUUGGGGAUGUGUGCUCUAUUGUGUGUACCUAAUAUGAGUAAAUGCAUUGUGUGUAUAAAUCAAGAUUGUGUGUAUUGUGUGUGGAGAAACAAUAGUAAAAUAUUCUUUGGGUAUGCUGUAGUAUACCCACGUGUCUAUGUCAUUUUUGGGUCUUUUGCAUCUGAAUUGCAGGUCGUGUCUUUGUACAUGAUAUAUGCAGGUAUCUGUGUGUGUCCUAUAUUGGUACAUACAUUCCAUGUCUGUGCCGAGUGUGCGUAUUUGGGUUAUAGAUCUAAAUGUAUAUCUCCUGUGUAUGCCCUUUUCAUUAAUUUGGUUUCUGUGUAUUUUGCAUGUGUGGUGCCUGCUUUGGAUGUGUGUGUGGCAACAGAGUAGAUCUCUUUGGUGGGGUGGGCCUGUCUGUGUGCCUCUGUGGGUGAUCAUUUCGUAGUCCCAGGUCAAGGACACUGGGGUAAAAUAUCUACCCCCGACCUGGGGCUUAGGUAUGGAUUGUUUCACCAUCUAGGUUCCCAGGGUCUGCGUCCCUCCAUCCCACGUCUUGGAAAUGCAGCACCACCUCCCGCGACGGAGAGGAAGAGAAGCCCAGAGUCUUUGCGCCGGGCAUGGGAUGCCAUGCAGACCCCUGGGGAUGUGGGUGACCAGGAACUAGUGAGCACCCUGGGCUGGUGCCCCACCCCCCAAGGUAACUGCAGGUGCUAGAGAGCCAGCAGUGAGGCUGAGGCUGGGGCUGGAGCUGGAGCCACGGCUGGGCAGCCCGACCACGCAACUUGCUGAGCUUGGGCAAUUUAAGCUAUUAGGUCAAAAGGCAAAGAAGUCUAGUUUGUGAGACAAAAGCCUCCCCACCCCCACUCCUUCCAGCGCCAGCUGGAACUUGACCUUUGGGCCAUGCAGUGCUCCUUUUCUC